rnacentral:rRNA from 1 species
GUGAGGAAUAUUGGUCAAUGGACGAGAGUCUGAACCAGCCAAGUAGCGUGAAGGAUGACUGCCCUAUGGGUUGUAAACUUCUUUUAUAAGGGAAUAAAGUGAGGGACGUGUCCCUUUUUGUAUGUACCUUAUGAAUAAGGAUCGGCUAACUCCGUGCCAGCAGCCGCGGUAAUACGGAGGAUCCAAGCGUUAUCCGGAUUUAUUGGGUUUAAAGGGAGCGUAGGUUGACAUAUAAGUCAGCUGUGAAAGUUUACGGCUCAACCGUGAAAUUGCAGUUGAUACUGUAUGUCUUGAGUGUACAAGAGGUGGGCGGAAUUCGUUGUGUAGCGGUGAAAUGCUUAGAUAUCACGAAGAACUCCAAUUGCGAAGGCAGCUCACUGGGGUACAACUGACACUGAGGCUCGAAAGUGUGGGUAUCAAACAGGAUUAGAUACCCGAGUAGUCC